rnacentral:rRNA from 1 species
AGCUCUCCGAGUGGUGUGGAUGUUUAUUGGGCCUAAAGCAUCCGUAGCUGGCUAAGUUAGUCCCUUGUUAAAUCCACCGAAUUAAUCGUUGGAUUGCGGGGGAUACUGCUUGGCUAGGGGACGAGAGAGGCAGACGGUAUUCCCGGGGUAGGGGUGAAAUCCUAUAAUCCCGAGAAGACCACCAGUGGCGAAGGCUGUCUGCUAGAACGCGCCCGACGGUGAGGGAUGAAAGCUGGGGGAGCGAACC